UUAACCAGCCCCACACAGCAUUUCGUUUGGAUAUAUUAGAAUAUUAAAUUUUAUACAUUUAAUGUAUAUACUUUAAAUUAAUUUAAAUACAUGUUUAGUUUGUUAACUAGAAGGGUAUAAUUUAAAGCAAAAGCUUACUCUUUAACAAUUAUGUGCAGCAUGUGAUUUAAUCUGAUGGAUGAUUUUUGUGCCCAAUUAUCCACACAAAUUUGGGCAAAGACUCGUGUUAUACAGAAUUUUUCUAAAUAUAAUCUUACACUAAACAGCCCUGAGACUUGCAGCUGUACAUGUCCCUUUAUUCCUUUUUGGCACUAGAUUUUGGUAAGCUAUUCAACAAAAAUGGAAAUUUUGCGUUAUGUGUAUUUUAAACUCUCCAUUAAGGUAUAUGAUUUCCAAUAUUAUGUCAAAAAAUAUACCUGCUAUAAAUCCUGCAUUUCUCUGCCUACAAGCACUUGCUUAAACUGCAAGUUAAUAUAUUUUCAUCCAAGCUAUCUGAAACACUGAAAGGUAUUCAAACACAUUGGUUUGAAAACUGCUUUGCUUGUUUUAGCACAACAUCAUUACAACUAUCCUCUGUGACAGGAAAAUGUUUCAGGUGGAUUAUUUGGCGCUCCACAGCCAUAAUGCCAAAGAGAAGAAAGCAUUAUCAGCCGUGAUGCAAUUGCAGAAAAUGAGAAGAAAUAGUUCAAUUAAUCCAACUAUUAGCAUCCUCUUUGCUUUCUACAAAAUUGUUACAGCCUCUACAAAGCAGGAUUCCUUAUACUUGAAGGCAAGCACUUCACUUUCUCUACUGAGCUGAGAAAGCACUUUCUUACAAUGGACAUACCUAAAAUACGUCUGUAGAGUGAUUUGAUUCAUUAUGAAAGGCUGACUAUCAAACACUUUAUAUUAUAGACAACAUGUCCUCUCAAACUGCCGAGGAUCUCUGCAUUAUAGUGCGCUGCGGCAAAUUUAAUGGAAUCAUCUGAUCUCGUGUCAAAGCUGGAGUGUUCCCUGUUGUGCUGCCAACCUCCUCUCCUCAACUGACAUUUGAACAUUUUCCAGUAUUCUGGGUAAAGUACUGUCAUGAGUUCAUCCACACUGGACACAGACCGCAACUGCUCUUCCAGGUCUUUGCUUCCAUGAGCCUGUCAAAGUAACGUGCAAGAUUAAUUACUUUCUCUAGUACACAAGGUAUGCUGGAAACUAGCCUGAAAAACAACUCAUACGUUUUAAAAUAAAGGGAUCCUCAUUAUAAAAACUGCA